rnacentral:rRNA from 1 species
CCUACGGGUGGCUGCAGUGGGGAAUAUUGGUCAAUGGGCGCGAGCCUGACCCAGCCAAGUCGCGUGAGGGAAGACGGUCCUAUGGAUUGUAAACCUCUUUUGUCGGGGAGCAAAAGACGCCACGUGUGGCGUUCCGAGAGUACCCGAAGAAAAAGCAUCGGCUAACUCCGUGCCAGCAGCCGCGGUAAUACGGAGGAUGCGAGCGUUAUCCGGAUUUAUUGGGUUUAAAGGGAGCGUAGGUGGAUUGUUAAGUCAGUUGUGAAAGUUUGCGGCUCAACCGUAAAAUUGCAGUUGAAACUGGCAGUCUUGAGUACAGUAGAGGUGAGCGGAAUUCGUGGUGUAGCGGUGAAAUGCUUAGAUAUCACGAAGAACUCCGAUUGCGAAGGCAGCUCACUGGACUGCAACUGACACUGAUGCUCGAAAGUGUGGGUAUCAAACAGGAUUAGAUACCCCAGUAGUC